CCUACGGGUGGCAGCAGUGGGGGAUAUUGCACAAUGGGGGAAACCCUGAUGCAGCGACGCCGCGUGGGCGAAGAAGUAUCUCGGUAUGUAAAGCUCUAUCAGCAGGGAAGAAGAAAUGACGGUACCUGCGUAAGAAGCACCGGCUAAAUACGAGCCAGCAGCCGUGGUUAUACGUAUGGUGCAAGCGUUAUCCGGAUUGACUGGGUGUAAAGGGAGCGCAGGGGGCACGGCAAGCCUGAUGUGAAAGUCCGCGGCCCAACCGCGGGACUGCAUUUGGAACUAGCGGGCUGGAGUGCCGGAGAGGUAGGCGGAAUUCCUGGUGUAGCGGUGAAAUGCGUAGAUAUUAGGAGGAACACCAGUGGCGAAGGCGGCCUACUGGACGGUGACUGACGCUGAGGCUCGAAAGCGUGGGGAGCAAACAGGAUUAGAUACCCCUGUAGUC
rnacentral:rRNA from 1 species